GGUGACGCUAAGGACACGUUCCAGGGUCUGAGAAGGAGGCAGGGAAAGAAGGAUGGCAGAGGUCCACACGUCCCACUGCACAGAGGAGGCUGCUGUCGCCGUCACAGAUGAGGCUCAGAGAGGGUGUCUCAUGUCCACGGUGGCUCAGUGUGGAGCAGGAACCCCUGCAGGGCCAUCUCUCUGUCACCUUGAGAAAGGAUGCCUGCCUCAGGGCACAGGGGAUAUUAUGUCACCUGGGCCCGUUUCAGUUCUUACUGAGGGUCUCAGAAAGAAUCCAGCCAUCAAGAGGUGACUGGGGCAGGCCUUUUGGAUGGGGCGUCCUGGCAUGUGCGUGUUUUGGAGCAAGUCCUCGGGCUCAUUCAUUCAAUCGUUCUGUGCAUCAGGACAAAAGGGCUGCUGUGGGGAUCCACAGGGCUCACCUGGCACAGAGCUGGUGCUCAAGACACCCACCUGCGCUGACAGCUCACGGCUCACUGUCCUGCUGCCUCCUCUUCUCGGCCUGUCCUGCGAUGGUCCCCGGCAAACAACAGCACCUGAGCCGCUGUUUCCAGAAGGUGCCUUCCAUCCUCCCACCAACAGCUCGGGCGGCUCCAAAGUCACAGGGAAGGGCCCCCCACCAUCCAACCACUGACAUAGGUGAGUGGUCUGACCCAUCAGAACAGCGGCAGGGAGGCUGUCUGUCUUUCCUUCAGGGGCAAGAUGUCCAGGAAGCUGCCCCUGAGCACCGCCAGGCCCCUGCUUUCCGGGUCUCACUGCCCAACCCCAGCUCGCUGCCCCAGAGCUCUCCUGUAGAUGCCACCUUCCUGCCCUGACAGGAUCCAUGGGCAAAGUGGGAGGGCUCGUACUCCUAGGUGGCUGCAGGUGUCCCUUGGUCUCAACACUGUCAAGCAAAUCUUUAGACGAAGCCAUCCUGGAGAGACCCCCCGCCCAGGGCUGGUGGACACCCCGUCGGGCUCACUUCUGCUCGACGCGGGCCCUUUGCUGCCCCUCGGGGUCUGGCCGUGAGGGGACAUCAAAGGCAUCAUGUCGGGAUCCCUGGGUGGCGCAGCGGUUUGGCGCCUGCCUUUGGCCCAGGGCGCGAUCCUGGAGACCCCGGAUCGAAUCCCACGUCAGGCUCCCGGUGCAUGGAGCCUGCUUCUCCCUCUGCCUAUGUCUCUGCCUCUCUCUCUCUCUCUCUCUCUCUCUCUCUCUCUCUCUCUAUGUGACUAUCAUAAAUAAAUAAAAUUUAAAAAAAAAAAAAAAAAAAGGCAUCAUGUCCCUCAGUGGUUGUCAGCAGUGGAUCGGGGCCACCAGAGUGGGGAAGGGCUGGGAGGGGCCUGGGGCUCUCAGUGUUACCCCGACUC
rnacentral:lncRNA from 1 species